rfam:Schistosoma mattheei strain Denwood, Zambia genome assembly, scaffold: SMTD_scaffold0015919
AUCCAGUUGAUGAGUGCCAAAUAGGACGAAGCGCAUGUCCUGCAU